UGUUGAUAUCCUUACAUAUCAAAAUACAGCACACGAUCAUUCUGAAAAAAGGAAACAGUAACUAACAUGUUAACUGUUCUGCUACAACAUGAAUUUUACUCUAGCUUCUCAAAACUCCUCCAGUAAAUAAAAUUAGCCCUAGCAACAACCCUCAUACAAACAUGAACAUGUUUCCUGAAAAGCAGGAAGCAGCCUAACAAUCAUAUCAUAUGACCAGCUAAAUACAGAAGAACUUUGCUGGUUUUUUUCUUUUUUUUCUCAGGACAUCAAAAUGCAUUUCCUUGUGACCUGGUAGGAGAUGACUGCUGCCUGGUUUGCUCUUGCUGGAAAAUCCUUCUUCUCUGUAACACAGGCUGCACUUGGGUUAUGUGAUUGAAGACUUAUCUCUCUGAACACUGAGGAGAACAGAGCAACAAUGGGAAGUGGGGAAACUCCAGUGACGUACUCAGGGAACAGGAGACUCUGUCCAACGCCUCCCAGAAAGUGACCUGUCCGUGGAUGGUGUGACAUUCAUCAUCAGUCAGUGGGAGAGGCUCACUGAACUGUGUGAUUUACUGCCUAGAGGGGUAUGGGACUCACAGGAUGAGAGCACCUUUGGGAUUGCACAUGACUUACUGGAGUAUGUGUGGAGAAGGAAAUCAAAGACAGGGAAUGAGGGAGAUAAAGGUGGUUUUGUGAGUCAGAAGUAUGGAAAAAUAAAAAGAUAAGGGGUUAAAAUGG